AAUGUAAACAAAACAGAGGAGGAGACGAGAAAGAGGAAGAUGAUUGUCAGACACGCAUCGAGAAUCUGUAAAAAAUGUGUGCACAGAGCAGAAGAAUAUGUCGAGAGUCUCAACUUCAGCAAAUCCAGUGAAACAACAAAUCACUCUUUUGGACAACAUUGAAGCUCUUUGACACGGAGGGAUGAACUUCAGCAUAUCAGGCUUUUGAUGCACAGACAAUACUUGUGGCCAAGGUGUUGUGCCCAGAAGUCAUGCUUGGGCCCGUACAGAAUGAGAGUCCACUAUCUCCGUCCAGUUCUUCUCCAGCGUCGUUCCCAGACAUUCCUCCUUCCACCUCCACCUCAGACUGACUGGCACAGCAUAACUCCCCAGAUCCUGCUUCAACACAUCCAGCUGACCACGUUCCUGAGCAUCGGGGAAAAAGCAGACAGGACAAACAGAGGAAUGCAAAUGAAUAGGAAGGCAAGAGAAACAGAAGUCAGGGCGAAAAAAGAGAAGAAAAUCUGAGUCAUUGAUUCCUUUGAAAAGGUCAUUAACCAUUCAUGUGAA